rnacentral:rRNA from 1 species
CCAAUAGCGUAUAUUAAAGUUGUUGCAGUUAAAAAGCUCGUAGUUGAAUUUCGGGAUUGGCGCAUCGGUCGUGCCUCACGGGGUAUGAACUGGUGCAGUCAAUUUCUCACCUUCUGGAGAACCGCGAUGUCCUUAAUUGGGUGCCGCGGGAAACCAGGACCUUUACUUUGAAAAAAUUAGAGUGUUUAAAGCAGGCAUUUUUGCUUGAAUCCAUUAGCCUGGAAUAAUAAAAUAGGAAGGCAUGGUUCUAUUUUGUUGGUUUCUAGGACCACCGUAAUGAUUAAUAGGGAUAGUUGGGGGCAUUAGUAUUCAAUUGUCAGAGGUGAAAUUCUUGGAUUUAUUGAAGACUAACUACUGCGAAAGCAUUUGCCAAGGAUGUUUUCAUUAAUCAAGAACGAAAGUUAGGGGAUCGAAGACGAUCAGAUACCGUCGUAGUCUUAACCAUAAACUAUGCCGACUAGGAAUCAGACGAUGUUAAUUUUUUAAUGACUCGUUUGGCACCUUACG